rnacentral:rRNA from 1 species
UAGGGAAUCUUCGGCAAUGGGGGGAACCCUGACCGAGCAACGCCGCGUGAGUGAAGAAGGUUUUCGGAUCGUAAAGCUCUGUUGUUAAGGAAGAACGAGUGUGAGAAUGGAAAGUUCAUGCUGUGACGGUACUUAACCAGAAAGGGACGGCUAACUACGUGCCAGCAGCCGCGGUAAUACGUAGGUCCCGAGCGUUGUCCGGAUUUAUUGGGCGUAAAGCGCGCGCAGGUGGUUUAGAAAGUCUGAUGUGAAAGCCCACGGCUCAACCGUGGAGGGGCAUUGGAAACUAAGAAACUUGAGUGCAGGAGAGAAAAGUGGAAUUCCUAGUGUAGCGGUGAAAUGCGUAGAGAUUAGGAGGAACACCGGUGGCGAAAGCGGCUUUAUGGCCUGCAGCUGACACGGAGGCGCGAAAGCGUGGGGAGCAAACAGG